UCAAUGGGCCAGUAAGGUGAUAGGCACCAGGGUGCACAGUAAGGCUGGAAUGUGGCUUCCUGCCCAAGGCAGCACGACGACUCAAGGGGUCUCUACAUACGGGACCCACUUCUUCCUUUGAAAUGGGACUCUGCUUACAUGGAUUCAGGAGAACCAAAUGUGGCUCUGGAUGGGGCCUCAGGAGUCCUGGAUACCCGCAACCUCUUUGUAACUCACCUUUGUAUAACCACACCCUAUUUCAGUGCUCUUCUCUGGAGAAUAGCAGCCCGGCUCUGCAUUCUCUGUAGAUUGUCAUGAGCAUCGCAUGUAGGUGAGUGUUUCUUGCCAUGUGCAAGUUGCUACAUAAUUACAAAGUUUUACUCCUGGAAACUAGGAAUAUGUUUAGCUGAUGUAUUUUUGUGUUUUGGUUGUUAUGUGCAUAUAUGUUUGUUGUUGUUGUUGUUUUACCACCUUUGAUCAGCAGCUGAUUUGGCUGAUCUGGGCCUGAUUGGCCUGUUGGCUCCAUGUCAGUCUCUGGUCUGACCCUUGCCAUCACUUCAAACAUUUCCCUGAAGAGAAAUGAGCUGCCUCCUUUUUUUCUUUUUCUUUCUUUCUUUUUUUUUUUUUUUUUUUUUUUUGUCAGUUCAAACCACAUCCUGCCCAUUUCCACUUUCCAUAAGACAGCUCGUGACACCAGUGGUUUUAAGAUGCAGCAGGCUUCGGGUGAAGCACCAUGAGAGGCCUUUUUCACAGAAGUGAAAAUAAUUCACCCAGUGGUCAGCAUGUCAGAUGAAAACGAAGCAGGAGGCAGGGGUGAUGGAGGUACCACCGUGAAAGGGCUGUGUGGCAAAGACUGCAGUAGUUGGAAAGGACUUCAGUGAUGCUCUGGUCACUUUGAAGCCUGGAAUGGUACCUGGGUCUGGUGGUUCCUGGCUCAAGUUCAAUCUAAGGAGACCAGGGGCACCCGUAGCUGCAGUUCAAGGGCCAGCGGCGUCACUGGACUGGUGAAUUUGUCCUGGUGGGUGGAUGGGGUCCUGGUGACAGAGGGGCACAUGUCUCAGCUGGACACUGUUUGCCAAGAGCAAGAAUGGAACUGACUCAGAGUUAAGCCCAUCCUCGAGACACCAAAUAAAAUAAAUGUUUUGAAGUCA